GGCUUACACAUGCAAGUCGAGGGGAACGGCAUUGAGUGCUUGCACUGAAUGGACGUCGACCGGCGCACGGGUGAGUAACGCGUAUCCAACCUUCCCGUUACUGCGGGAUAACCUGCCGAAAGGCAGACUAAUACCGCAUGUUCUACGAUGACGGCAUCAGAUUCGAAGCAAAGAUUCUUCGGUAACGGAGGGGGAUGCGUCUGAUUAGCUAGUUGGCGGGGCGACGGCCCACCAAGGCGACGAUCAGUAGGGGUUCUGAGAGGAAGGUCCCCCACAUUGGAACUGAGACACGGUCCAAACUCCUACGGGAGGCAGCAGUGAGGAAUAUUGGUCAAUGGGCGGAAGCCUGAACCAGCCAAGUAGCGUGCAGGAGGACGGCCCUACGGGUUGUAAACUGCUUUUAUGCGGGGAUAAAGUGAGGGACGCGUCCCUUUUUGCAGGUACCGCAUGAAUAAGGACCGGCUAAUUCCGUGCCAGCAGCCGCGGUAAUACGGAAGGUCCGGGCGUUAUCCGGAUUUAUUGGGUUUAAAGGGAGCGUAGGCCGGGGAUUAAGUGUGUUGUGAAAUGUAGGCGCCCAACGUCUGACUUGCAGCGCAUACUGGUUCCCUUGAGUACGCGCAACGCCGGCGGAAUUCGUCGUGUAGCGGUGAAAUGCUUAGAUAUGACGAAGAACCCCGAUUGCGAAGGCAGCCGGCGGGAGCGCAACUGACGCUGAAGCUCGAAGGUGCGGGUAUCGAACAGGAUUAGAUACCCUGGUAGUCCGCACGGUAAACGAUGGAUGCCCGCUGUCGGCGCCUUGCGCCGGCGGCCAAGCGAAAGCGUUAAGGAUCCCACCUGGGGAGUACGCCGGCAACGGUGAAACUCAAAGGAAUUGACGGGGGCCCGCACAAGCGGAGGAACAUGUGGUUUAAUUCGAUGAUACGCGAGGAACCUUACCCGGGCUUGAAUCGCAGG
rnacentral:rRNA from 1 species